rnacentral:lncRNA from 1 species
CGCACUAAAGUGCAUAAAACGUGGACACGUUCUAGAUAUCUCGUGACGAAAUACACAGAAAAAACAUUCCUCUUGCCUUUACGUCUUUCAAAGACUGAUUUGAUCCAUCAGAAAUCAACAUUUUGGGAAAAGGUUUGAGCAGGAGAUAACAUCAACAUAGGAGCCCCAGUGUGGGACAGCGCCUCACCACCUUGCCCAGGGGGCGCUCACGUAGACGCAGUCUUCCCUAGAGCACGAAGCAUGACGUCACAGUAAAAUGUCAGUUUCUCAACUGUGAACCCAAACACUCAGCUUUGGACAUCUUCCUGGCCACCUUACCCAAUUGCACUCUAGGCCCUUCCCCCACCUCCCCCCUAGCCCCCCUCUAUCCCCCCUCUAUCCCCUUCCCCUCUUGCCCCACCCAUUUGGGUGAUGCUCGGGAUAGUAUUGUCGUUCUGGACCUUCCUAUUCAUCGUGAUCACAGCGGUACAACACGCCUUGGGCUGGAGACCCGUCUCCUCCUCUUCUGACCCCGCCCCUAACUCUUCAAGCCCAGCCCACAAAUCUCGACCCUGUAGCUGCAACUGCCAAGGAAAAACACACCAACCACCAUUGCCUUCAGGUACCGGUUCUUCAUCACGGGAAGGCAAGUCUCGAUACACACGUUCUGUUGGCUUUGACCCGGAAACUUCAGUGAGAAAAAGUCACCGCCCAUCACGCCGACCGUUUAGGGGCCACAACCCUUCCCUCAGUUCUUCUUCUGUAGGCAAAAGCUGCUCCGACGACCAACUGUCAGCACGCUCAGGCUGCGGGUCUUCUACGGGAGCCGGCCACUCACGCCACCAAAGUCCUCCCAACCGUGACCCGACGUCGUCCGUUAGUGUGAGCUACCCCUCGUGUCACGAGACGGGUGGGUGUCUGUCCCACAGUGGGAAUUCUAAUAGGAAGAGUGUGAGCUUCAGAAACAGUCUGGGAGAGGAGCCUAGAGGAAGGAGUUUUUGGAACAGACGGCGCUGAAAUCUGUCGUACACCUCCAGCGCUGCAAAAGGAAAUAGAAAUAAUCGAGAAGACCUCGACAAAAAUAUGUACAUCUUCAUAGUCACACUCUAAAUCCUGCAUCCCUGUCUUUCUCCUUUUGGAAAUACAUAGGCAAGAUCUGGCGUUGUCUGCCCCAUCUGGGAAUCUUGCGUGAGGCGAGGAGAUAGCGGUGAGAAGAGAAACCAUCAACAACCAUGAUACUAAGUGGAUUUAAAUGAAGUCCCAGAGCAAACGUCUCGAAUGUUGAUCAUCAUCGACGUCUGGCUCAUCCUGCUGAUCUGGCUCGUCUUCUACCUAGGCGGCAUCUGGUGCGUGGAUUGCGUCACAAGGCCAAACGAGAACUGGUCACAGAGGGGGAAAACAUCGUCCUCCUCGUCAGCGUCUCCCAAGUACAAGAACCUCAGAAGAGUCCGGAACCGUUGCUGUUGGUGAUCUGAGCUAGUCGACUCAUCCCAGUUGGGUUCAUCUACAUAUUUUUUGCCCUGCAACACAGACAACCGACCGUGAGUAGCUAGCCUGUACAGUGACUAGUAACCAAGGCCCGAGGAUAAAAGUACCCACGGAGAUAGCUACAGGACACCUGUUUGUACUACCAUUGUUUCUGGGCUAUUGUGUGACGAUCAUCAAAGGCUUGUGGGAAGACCAGUGGAGUCUACAGCAAGUUUGGAGUGUAUAUCUCUGAUCUUGACUAGGUACCACGAACUUUCUUGUCUUUUGAACAAACUCCUCUGCCGUCUUUGUCGCCAAAUUCUACCGUCAACCAUAGGUCUCCAUUCCAAAAAUUUCACGGUGAGUGAAAGGAGGAGACAAAAGAGACACACUAAAUAAAACAUAUAGUCAAGCAGUUGUAUAAUUACUGCUAUAAAUUACUGCUUUACUGUCGAAUGAGAGGUGAAGAAGGAAAAUCUUUCUUGAAUAAUUUCUUUCGUAGUCCAGUUCUCACUUUGAUCCACUCGCAUGCUGAUAUUCGCUACCACCCGUUUCUCGAUAUGCUUGUCGUAUUAACGACCCCGGAAUGGACUGGUUCAACCGACAAGUGUUGAGCUUCACCUCAGUAUACGCGCCAUUCUACCGGGAACACUUUAAGUCUGCCGAGCCACUGGCCGUUGUCAGCGACUUCUUCAAGUGCCUGCUCAGUUUUUACAUCCUGCUCUACCUUUUCAUCGUUUGUGUCACCUUCCCGUGCUCUGUGGUCUAUUGUGUUGUAUAACACGACAGCAGAGGAAGCCACUUAACCUGACACAGUACCCUGUGCUUCAGUUUUGGAAACUCAAACAAACUUGUGUUUCAAAAGUACUAACUUCUUUUUCCUUACACAAACCAUACAUAUAGGCAAAUCUAUUUUCAAAUGAGAAGGAAUUUUGGACCAGGGACAUAAUUUUCCCAGGAAAGAGGUCUCAGGUACAGUGAUAUAACGUAUUGAGACAAGACAUUGAUUAGAUACAUCACUGUUGCAGAGAAAACCGAUUUUCGGAAAAAGACACAAAUUCUUCCACUUGUACCUUAUUCGUGACAGACCUAGCAAUAAAGGAUAAUGAAGCACUGAGUGACAUUCCAACUGUGAGAGGAGGCGACCUGACACAGUGUGCACGACAAGACAACAAGGCCUGAGCGAGCACGUCUCCGUCACCAGCGCACCCCCUACCCCCGUGCUGAGUCUUGAGGCCUCAAUGCCGUACGGGGCUGUCUCGGAUGACGUCCUGCCCACGGACCUGCUCGUCUACGUCCUCGUCUUUGUCUUCAUCUACUACUUCUUCCUCAAGGACUCGGACAACUGCAAGAGCUUGAAAAAGAGGGUCAGAUGUUGUAGCCGCUGCUCUUGAAGUCGACAGACAUUCCUCUAUAACGAAACCACUGGACGUUUUUGUUAUUGUGUCAGGUUGUCCCCUAUCUCAUUGAGCUACAAACCUUAGAGAACUACCAUUAAUUUCUCCUUCAGUUUCACACAUCUAGAAGGUUAAUUAAGAUAUAUUAUUGGCUUUUAUAAUCUCUGCAAAACUUAAGAAACACAAAACCUCUAAACUACAUUAGUGCUCUUCAAUUAUAUUGUUAAUUAUCACAGGAAUAUACCAAACCAAUAUAACACUGAGAAUAGAAUUUUCGAAACAUAAUUUCCCAGUUUUGAGCCAGCGGGGUAUCGUCACUCGUGUACCCGUAACAUGUAUCUAGCCGUAGAGCUGGUCAGAUGUUAAGUCUCGUUCUGACUACUUUUUCACUCGUGAGUAGUGGCUUGAAUUCGGUUUCUGAAGACAUCGUGAAAUACUGCAAGUAUAAUAUGGUCUUUGCAGAAAUUCUCCGUUCUGAGUUUGAUACCCUGUUCUUUUGUUGGUAUAACAGCGAUAAAAGGUUCGCAAUGGCCACUGGCGACUUUUACUAGCUAUUUUUUUCCCUCACGAACUCGCCAGUGGCAGAAGUUCUGACAUCCGAAGACACUCACAAGACAAGGUCUAGUUAAUAUCACAAAAGAAAAAUAACGGUUUGGUAUAAUUUCUGCAGCUUCAAAGCGAUAUUACUUAUUUCUGACCGGUUGCAUUUGGACUAGUAUAUUAUUUUAAAGGAAAUUCCAUUAUUUAAAUCACGCAAGACCUGUAAAAUAGAUUCCUCUCUAACUGAAACAAAACAUGUAUCUCAGUAGUGCAGGCUAUCUAGAUUUCUGGCAAAAGUAGAUGGACCCAGCCACAAAAGAAAACGGGAGCACCAUCAGCUUGGAGGACUGUGUGUUUACUUUUCUUUUGAUCGUCUCCUUCUACGUGUUCCACAACUACAUCGGCGGGAUUUCAGGAAGAGACACCAAGUUUGGUUAAUCAAUCAGGCGACUUCCACUGUAGUAGUACCACAGACAUGCGCGCCGCGCGGUACCUGGAAGCCUCUAAGGAAUGAAGAGGCGAGCGACAUUUGGGGAUGGAGAUGAAAACCAACGCCAUGCUCCUAGCGGAGUCCACGCCUCAGUGGUUACGACAGAUGUUCCAGUCACUGGUCGAAGGAUUGCUUCUUUGGAAGGACAAUGUUGCGGAAGGCGCCCAGUGGUUCCUGUAUUUGGCUAAUGUCGUGAUCGCCAACGUCAUCAUCCCAAUAUACUACUUCCUGGUCACAGUGUUGAAAUACGCAUCUCAGUGGGAAAGUCAGAUCUGGUUUCUUUUCUUGGUGACGAGUUUUAUUGGGCUCAUGUACUGGAAGAAAUCGACGCGGGCUGGAGAAAAUGACCCAAGAGUUUUGAGUGCCAAAGUCACCAAUCCAGGGCAACCUGCAAGACCUCGGCGGCGACGGUUGUGUCGAUAAAAAAAUUGCUAUCUAAGCAGCCAAAUAGUAAGAACAUUUAUGUGAGACAUAACACGUAGGCUGUCUUUUCAGAUUCUCGGCAUUGGUGUGGCAGCUGAGAAGCAUGGUUUCUUAAACGAUUCAGAGAGAAAACGAAGUGGUGAGGGAGACAGAGAGAAAGA